ACCUCGGUGUGACAGUGAAGCUACGUUACUUUUUAUGUAUUCUGUGCGAAGGCAGAACCUCAGUGUGACGGUGAAGCUACGUUACUUUUUAUGUAUUCUGUGCGAAGCCAGGACCUCAGUGUGACGGUGAAGCUACGUUACUUUUUAUGUAUUCUGUGCCAAGCCAGGACCUCAGUGUGACGGUGAAGCUAAGUUACUUUUUAUGUAUUCUGUGCGAAGCCAGGACCUCAGUGUGGGGGUGAAGCUGCGUUACUUUUUAUGUAUUCUGUGCGAAGCCAGGACCUCAGUGUGACGGUGAAGCUACGUUACUUUGUGUAUUCUGCGCGAAGCCAGGACCUCGGUGUGACGGUGAAAGCUAGGUUACUUUGUAUAUUCUGUGCGAAGCCAGGACCUCAGUGUGACAGUGAAGCUGCGUUAUUUUUUAUGUAUUCUGUGCGAAGCCAGGACCUCAGUGUGACGGUGAAGCUGUGUUAAUUUUUAUGUAUUCUGUGCGAAGCCAGGACCUCAGUGUGACGGUGAAGCUGCGUUACUUUUUAUGUAUUCUGUGCGAAGCCAGGACCUCAGUGUGACGGUGAAGCUAUGUUACUUUGUGUAUUCUGUGCGAAGCCAGGACCUCGGUGUGACGGUGAAACUACGUUACUUUGUGUAUUCUGUGCGAAGCCAGGACCUCAGUGUGACGGUGAAGCUGCAUUACUUUUUAUCUAUUUUGUGUGAAGCCAGGACCUCGGUGUGACAGUGAAGCUACGUUACUUUUUAUCUAUUUUGUGCGAAGCCAGGACCUCGGUGUGACGGUGAAGCUACGUUACUUUUUAUGUAUUCUGUGCGAAGCCAGGACCUCGGUGUGACAGUGAAGCUGCGUUACUUUUUAUGUAUUCUGUGCGAAGCCAGGACCUCAGUUUGACGGUGAAGCUGCGUUACUUUUUAUGUAUUCUGUGCGAAGCCAGGACCUCGGUGUGACAGUGAAGCUGGGUUACUUUGUGUAUUCUGUGUGAAGCCAGGACCUCGGGGUGACGGUGAAGCUAGGUUACUUUGUGUAUUCUGUGCGAAGCCAGGACCUCAGUGUGACGGUGAAGCUACGUUUCUUUUUAUGUAUUCUGUGCGAAGCCAGGACCUCGGCGUGACGGUGAAGCUGUGUUACUUUUUAUGUAUUCUGUGCGAAGCCAGGUCCUCGGUGUGACAAUGCAGCUAUGUUACUUUGUGUAUUCUGUGUGAAGCCAGGACCUCGGUGUGACAGUGAAGCUGCAUUACUUUUUAUGUAUACUGUGCGAAGGCAGGACCUCAGUGUGACGGUGAAGCUAUGUUACUUUGUGUAUUCUGUGCGAAGCGAGGACCUCGGUGUGACAGUGAAGCUACGUUACUUUGUGUAUUCUGUGCGAAGCCAGGACCUCAGUGUGACGGUGAAGCUAUGUUACUUUGUGUAUUCUGUGCGAAGCGAGGACCUCGGUGUGACAGUGAAGCUACGUUACUUUGUGUAUUCUGUGCGAAGCCAGGACCUCGGUGUGACAGUGAAGCUACGUUACUUUGUGUAUUCUGUGCGAAGCCAGGACCUCAGUGUGACAGUGAAGCUACGUUACUUUGUGUAUUCUGUGCGAAGCCAGGACAUCAGUGUGACGGUGAAGCUACCUUACUUUGUGUAUUCUGUCUGCGAAUACUAAACAAUUAUUUCGCCAAACAGCUCUGAUCGUGUCUUGAUUUCAGGGUAUUGUGUUCUUCGAGACUAAGAAACACUUUGUUCAGUUUCGAGCACCUUCUUUAGGUUUAACCUGGUAGACGAGUCAUAUACAUACAGAAGCACAUAUGUAAAGAGCCUUCCUAUAGACAUCUAUAGAACGUGUGUACAAUACUUCAGCAUUACAAUGUCCUAACAGCCAACAGAUCAAGGGGAUCAUGGAUUCCUGACGCUACUGUGACAGCGUCAGCAGGGCUUUCCUUGUUGCUGUACGCGCACCGAACAAUGCAAGCAUGCAUGACUACAACUGUAACCACGGACGGGGGCCUACAUAGCUCGGCCUUUAGAAAAUGAAAUUGAAAUUGAAAGUAUAUCCAUUUACUGAGAAUAAACCAUGAUAGGUGGUCUACUUCCAAGAAAUAUCCUGAUAUCAAAUAUUCUAAGGCCACACGCUCUAAAACGAAGUGUUAACUAUUUUGCGCAUUCUAUACAUGUUUAGAUUGUCCCAUUGUGGAAUAGAUACCUCUUUAUCUUAAUUUUGAACUGAGCGCUUUAGUGCUGUACACUGUGGAGUGACUGUCAGUAUUCUCGGAAGUUGCGAGAGAGGUCAUUUCUUGGAAAUCGAACAUGCCAUCAUUUCUAUUAAAAAUUUGGACUCGUGGAAGCCCUACUAAACGAAUAUAUUUCUACAACAAACUUUUUGAAUUAACAUUCUAAUACACAUUCAACAAGUGUAAGUGUUAUUAGUAAGUUAGCAAUUACCCCAAGUAAAAGGAAACCUCUUUUUAACCAAUCAGAAUCAAGCAUUCAUCAAUGUUAUGGUAGAAUUCAUCAUUACGAUUACUACUCUAUUAGGGUUACACGGAAUUCAGGGACAGACAUGCCCAUAUAUGGACACGGCUUGAAAAAGGUGAAGGUUAUUGUGCUAAUUCUUAGAACCGAGUUGGCUGAUUAUAUAUAAGGUGCUCGUGGGGCGUUUUCAGACACACACUGUGGAUCUCUUUGUGGAACUCUUGCACAACACAACUCUAUCUAUACCUGCGACACACGACAACUCUCCAAACAGAAAAAAAAUGUCUGACAAAGGUGGUCAAAAAGGUUACUCCGGGACUGGCACAAAAGCUGACCUUGGCAACCACUCCAAUCAGAUGAACCCCAACAACCCCGUGUUUGGAGGGGGUUCCAGUCAGUACGGUGGGACUGGCACAAAAGCUGACCUUGGCAACCACUCCAAUCAGAUGAACCCCAACAACCCCGAGUUUGGAGGGGGCAAGCCUGGAGGCAAGAAGUGAUGACGUGUCACCUGAUGAUUGGCUUGCACAGACAAUAUAGACACAUCACGUGACAUUGUGUCAGUAAGGAAACUUCUGUGCCAUGAUUGUCCAGUCAAAUGCUUAGCAGAUAAAAUUGUAUACGUAAAAUAAAUACGUUAUAACUA